UUAUAUUUCACGCGAAAAGACGACAAUACGGUCAUUUGCAACACUUGUAAAGUUUCCAUUUCGUCAAACGGGGGAACUACCUCCAAUAUGCAGAAACAUUUGGCCACACAGCAUGCAAUUCAUUUGCAGGACUGUCGCGUGUUUGAUACACUACUACUUAGCGAAGUGAGUCAAGCGGCAGCGGAGCUAACGGGACGCCAUCUGUUAUUAAUGCCGAAGAUGAUGAUGAAGACGGCCAGAGUCUGGCUGGCUCAGAGGCUGCAGCAGGUAGCUCUGGUGCACCUCUAGCUACUCCGUUCACAGAGGCAGGGAAGAACAAAAUGACCGAGGCUAGGAUCAACGAAUGUCACCGAGCAGUGACUAAGUUUGUGGUAAAGGGUUUGCACCCGUUUGCCACAGUAGAUUCCUCUGCAUUUCGAUCUGACUCUACAUGAACUCAACGUACCGAGGCCUCAGAGUGGCUCACCACGGAGCAGGUUAACAUCAGUCCGGCCUCAGUUUGUAGAAGCAGUGUCUGAACCUGUUCUGAACCAGCUGCUGGAUCAACUUUUG